GAUGAACGCUGGCGGCGUGCCUAAUACAUGCAAGUCGAGCGAACAGACGAGGAGCUUGCUCCUCUGACGUUAGCGGCGGACGGGUGAGUAACACGUGGAUAACCUACCUAUAAGACUGGGAUAACUUCGGGAAACCGGAGCUAAUACCGUAUAAUAUAUUGAACCGCAUGGUUCAAUAGUGAAAGACGGUUUUGCUGUCACUUAUAGAUGGAUCCGCGCCGCAUUAGCUAGUUGGUAAGGUAACGGCUUACCAAGGCGACGAUGCGUAGCCGACCUGAGAGGGUGAUCGGGCACUGUGGAGCUGAGACACGGUACAGAGUCCUAGGGGAGGCAGCAACAGGGAAGCGACGGCGAAGGGCGAAAGCCUGACGGAGGAACGCAGCGUGAGUGAAGAAGGUCUUCGGAUCGUAAAACUCUGUUAUUAGGGAAGAACAAAUGUGUAAGUAACGAUGCGCGUGUUGACGGUACCUAAACAGAAAGCCACGGCUAAUUACGU
rnacentral:rRNA from 1 species